rnacentral:lncRNA from 1 species
AAGGUCCAACAACCCUAAUCGGGUUAAAAACUCAACCAAUAAAACUAAAAACCUAUCUUCUAUAAAUUUGUCCGAAAAUAUCUAAAGAAAAAGAAAAAUAAUAAAAAGAGGAAAAGGAAAGUGAAUUGUCAAUUGUCAUCUUCAUCUUUGCUGUAAUCUUCCCUCCAAUUCUGAAAAUGGCGAUGUAAGUAGCUUUCUUAUUGUUAAUCAAGCUCAAAUCGAGAAAUGCAUGAUGAAUUUUGGGCAUUUUCAUCUAAGGUGUUAAAAAUCUCACCAACACCAUGAAAUUGUCCCAAUCGAAGACUUCAACUCAUAUAGCUUCCAAUCCGAACUUAUUACAACAAGAUAAGUUUUCUUACUUUUACCCCUAAUUUAUUUCUCAGUUAACAUCAAAUCUCAUCAAUUUCAUCUCUCCGACAGAUUGAGCUUAACUAAAAGUCGAUACCACUGCCUAAGAAGAAACCAUUUAAUGAUUAUUUGACCUUAAUCAGAAACUUGAGCUCCGUAGAUCUUAUUGAGGUAAUUUUGCUUUUAAUUGAAACUACCAUUGUAGUCUGUAGAUGAUAAUUGUUGUUGUUGAUUGUGUCUGAACACAUCUACAUCUUGUGCUAUGAAAUUUGUUAUUCGCAGAUCAUUAACUUUUUCUUGUACCUCGUAACAGAAGCGAACCCAGGAUUUGAAGUCUUUGGGUGCAUCGGUAUUGUCAAUGGCGCGCAUAAGCCUCAAAGCAAGACUCAAAAUGUGUUAAGCACUCGUAUCACUUAAUAUGCAACUUAGGUUCUAAUUUCUAAUAUAUACUGUCCUUGUCAUGAGGUUUUCUUAAAAGACGACUAUUUCACUUUAUCAAAAAAAUAAAAAUUCAUAUAUUUGUCAUAAUCUUGGACUAGACAUAUAUUUAUAUUUUUUUCUCUUUUUGCUUUUUUUUUGGUUAAAUUUCACGUUUUAUUUAUACUUUGUGCUUAAACACAAUAGACCGUGAAGUUUUUUUUACGCUUGUUGCUUUUGAUAAUACUGUGGAGCCCAAUAUUAUCUUAAGACAUUAGAAAAAUUUUCAGUGUCGAUUAAGAAAUAUUAUCAUAUUCAAUUGAUCGUCAAAGAUAUAAACAAUACUGAAAAAAUAAAUAUAUAGAACAAGUAUGAGUUCUAAGCUAAUAGCUUUACUUUCUUAUAAUAUGAGGUUUAUUUUUAAGAUGGUUAGAUAAUUAUUUGUAGUAGCUCAAUGGUCAAAAGGGAUUCACUUCAUGGGAUGGUUGCAGAUUCGAAUCCUCAUUCCAACAUUUUAAUGUUAUAAAUUUAGUAAUAGAAAAAAUAUUAUGCUACCAGGGAUUGGUCGCAUGGACGAAAGCAUUGGCUUUAACCAAUGCAUCAAUGGACGGAAGCAUUGGCUUCAACCAUCUCAUCAAGGUGCACUAGCAUUCAACUUAAUGUAGUAGUAAGCCUUUAAUCUGAAGAUUGAAAAUAAAAGAGAAAAUGUUGCGCGAUCCCGGGAUCGAUCCCUGGUCACGUGGAAGGAUAUGAUGUCUUCAGCCAGCGCGGGAAGGUGUACUAGCAUUCAUUUGGGGUGCAUUAUUAACUAUAUCUCAAUUUCUGAAAGUAUAUACACAUGUAUACAUAUAAUUUUUUUUGACGUUAACAGGUGCACGUGCACCCCCACUAAUAGCUGUGGGUCCGCAUCUGCAAUCACAGAUCUAAAGAUGUUUUGUCUGAGAAUAGAGCUCAGACCAAAGAGAUAUAUAAAUUGGCCAAAUGCUACAUCUAUUUGAUGCUUUAACACUAGUAUUAUAAUAAGAUUAAAGGGUUCAUUACGGAUUAAGUCUAAACAGUAGAAAUUAAUGCAUAUUAACUGGUGGUUGUUUUGUUGCAAAACAAUAGGAAUUGUUCUGAUGUUUCAUCCACCUCUUUUCCAUCCAUUUCAAUCUCAUUGUUCACACUCAUAAGAUUUAUAGGGCUUUAUUUUUUUGUAGAUCCUACGCAUUUGAUUGACACUCAUCAGUUAUUUUUUUCAACUUUUAUAAUCCAUUUUCCUUCAAAAACAAAAAAAGGCCCAAGGAAACCCCAAGCUCAUAAUGACAUUUAUUUACCCUGUGAUUAUAGUGACUUCUCCAGAAGCAGAGGCGAACCCAGGAUUUGAAAUUUAUGGGUUCACCGGUGUUGUCAAUGACGCGUAUAAUCCUCAAAGCAAGACUCAAAAUGUGUUAAGCGCUCGUCUCACUUAAUGUGCAACUUAGGUUCUAAUUUCUAAUACAUACUUGCCCUUGUCAGUUAAUGAGACUUUCUUAAGAGACGACUAUUUCACUUUAUCAAAAACAAAAAAAAUUUCAUAUAUUUGUCAUUCAUGCUUAUAUUAUUAGUCUUAGACUAGACAUAUAUUUAUAUUUUUUCUCUUUUAGCCUUUUUUGGUUAAAUCUCACGUUUUAUUUGUACUUGGUGCUUAAACACAAUAGACCGUGAAGAUUUUUUGUGCUUGUUGCUUUUGAUAAUACUGUGGAGCCCAAUAUUAUCUUAAGAUAUUAGAAAAACUUUCAGUGCCGAUUAAGAAAUAUUAUCAUAUUCAAUUAGUCGUCAAAGAUAUAAACAAUAUUGAAAAAAUAAAUAUAUAGAACAAGUAUGAGUUCUAAGAUAAUAAUUUUACUUUCUUAUAAUAUGAGGUUUAUUUUUAAGAUAGUUGGAUAAUCAUUUGUAGUAGCUCAAUGGUCAAAGGGAAUAAGCCUUUAAUUUGAAGAUUGAAAAUAAAAGAGAAAAUGUUGCACAAUUCAGGGAUCGAUCCCUGUUCGCGUGGAUGGAUGUAAUGUCUUCAGCCAGCGCGGAAAGAUGUACUAGCAUUCAUUUGGGGGUGCACUAUUAACUAUAUCUCAAUUUCUGAAGGUAUAUACACAUGUAUACGUAUAAUUUUUUUCGACGUUAAUGGGUGCACGUCCACCCCCACUAAUAGCUGUGGGUCCGCCUCUGCCUUGUAAGAGACUAAAAACCUUGAUUUGUGUACUGCAUGUUUGAUUGUUGGAUGUCGUAGCAUUGUUGUUGUUUAGACAGGACCAAAAUCCAUAUUUUGCAUCUUUCUAAUUCUUAAACUUGGAAGUUGUUCCUUGUCCAUAUUCAACAAGAUCUUUGCUUUAGUUGAUAAUUGUUGAUAAUUGAAAAAUAAUAAUUGUUAGUACCUGCAAAAGCAAAGACACAGUUAACUAAAAAAUCGGCAAGCUGAUUACCUUGUCUGUAAAUGUGUUGGACCACCACCUUUCUUCCCUUUAUUAGAUUUUGAAUCCUCCUUAUUUCAUUAGAAAUACCCCAUGGAAUCUCCCACUGAUUUGUAACAAAUUUAUGAACAGCCAAAGAAUCAGUUUCGAAGCAUAAAGACAUCAAAUUAUGCUUAAUACAAUAUUCCAAUCUCAAUCGUAAUGCCAAAGCUUCAGCCACUAAAUUGAUUUCAUUAGGAAUUCUUCUAAUUUUAGCAUGAAUUAACUCUCCACUGUGAUUCCUAACACAAAAAGCUUCUAAACUUGGGUCAGGAUUGCCCUUCACAUCAGCAUCGAAAUUACAUUUGUACUGAUUUAUAUUAGGAAAAUUCCACUUCACCACAACACUUCUCAGGGUAGGCCUAUAUUCUGAUAAAAAACUCACUAAAUCCAUCCAAGAAUCUGGUAUGUUUUUAAGCCAAAGAAAUAGACAUUUAGCUAGAUAUACUAGAUUUCUAGUUAUUUCCAACCUCAUACUCUAAAGAGAUCUUUUACUACCAUGUUUAAUACAGUUUCUUCUUUUUCAAAUUUGUCAAAGUAUAAACAUUGGUACAGCUCUGAAAAUAGGCUUCAAUUUAGGUACAUUAGAUGCAUUCCAUCAGUUUAGCACACUGUCUUUAGGAAUGGCAAUAGGGAGGUGUGGUGCGGGUAUUUUCAUAACCCGCGAAUCUGAUAACCGCACCGUACCACAUUUUUUUAAACCCGCAUAAAUUCGCUCCACACAAUACCCGUGCAAACCCGCACCGCACCAUAUUUUUUUAACUCUCAUAUUUAUUGAAAUCAAUUGAUUUUCCUUGUUUCGCAUUUUACUGAUCCAACUGCAGUUAGUAAGUCAAUGUUGUCAAUAUUUUCUUAUACGUGUGUAUAUCUGUCUGUAAUGGUAAAUGUAAUUUAUAGAUAUCGUCAUACUUCAUCAAAAUUUAUAGAUAUAUUCUGAUAUUUAUAUCGUAUUGCUGAAAAGGAACCCAAAUAUACAAAUAUAAUCUUAACUGUAAUGACUAAUGAUACAUCACUGCAUGUUGCUCUAGAGUUUUUUACUAUGUCUUGGUCGUGUGCCUGUAGCUAUAAAUUAGCAACAGAUGUGAUUGUUUUUUACUUUAAACAGAUUGAAAAAAUCAUGUACUCUCUCCGUCUCAUAUUAUGUAAAAAAAUGGCACAUAAAAUGGAACGGAAUAUAUAUAAUUUUAGGUAUAUUCACGUGAAUAAUACUAAUUUUUAGUUUUUUAUAAUUUAAACUUGCAUAUACCCGCAACCCACACCGCACCGCACCAUUUAAAAAAUACUCUUACUUUAACUCGCCCCGUACCCGCACCACACUGCAUAACUUAAAACUCGCACCGCAUAGCUUAAAACCCGCACCGCACCCACACCGCCCCAUUGCCAUCCCUAAUUUUCAUCUUCAUCUUUGCUGUAAUCUUCCCUCCAAUUCAGAAAAUGGCGAUAUAAGUAGCUUUCUUAUUGUUAAUCAAGCUCAAAUUAAGAAAUGCAUGAUGAAUUUUAGGCAUUUUCAUCUAAGGUGUUAAAAAUCUCACUAACACCAUGAAAUUAUCUCAAUCGAAUACUUCAACUCAUAUAGCUUCCAAUCCGAACUUAUUACAACAAGAUAAGUUUUAUUACUUUUACCCCUAAUUUAUUUCUCAGUUAACAUCAAAUUCUCAUCAAUUUCAUCUCUCUGACAGAUUGAGCAUAACUAAAAGCCGAUACCACUGCCUAAGAAGAUACCAUUUAAUGAUUAUUUGACCUUAAUCAGAAACUUGAGCUCCGUAGAUCUUAUUGAGGUAAUUAUGCUUUUAAUUAAAACUACCAUUGUAGAUGAUAAUUGUUGUUGUUGAGUGUCUGAACAGAUCUACAUCUUGUGCUAUGAAAGUUGUUAUUUGCAGAUCAUUAACUUUUUCUUGUACCUUGUAAGAGACCUAAAACCCUUGAUUUGUGUACUGCAUGUUUGAUUGUUGGAUGUCGUAGCAUUGUUGUUGUUUAGACAGGACCAAAAUCCAUAUUUUGCAUCUUUCUAAUUCUUAAACUUGGAAGUUGUUCCUUGUCCAUAUUCAACAAGAUCUUUGCUUUAGUUGAUAAUUGUUGAUAAUUGAAAAAUAAUAAUUGUUAGUACCUGCAAAAGCAAAGACACAGUUAACUAAAAAAUCGGCAAGUUGAUUACCUUCUCUGUAAAUGUGUUGGACCACCACCUCUCUUCCCUUUAUUAGAUUUUGAAUCCUCCUUAUUUCAUUAGAAAUACCCCAUGGAAUCUCCCACUGAUUUGUAACAAAUUUAUGAACAGCCAAAGAAUCAGUUUCGAAGCAUAAAGACAUCAAAUUAUGCUUAAUACAAUAUUCCAAUCUCAAUCGUAAUGCCAAAGCUUCAGCCACUAAAUUGAUUUCAUUAGGAAUUCUUCUAAUUUUAGCAUGAAUUAACUUUCCACUGUGAUUCCUAACACAAAAAGCUUCUAAACUUGGGUCAGGAUUGCCCUUCACAUCAGCAUCGAAAUUACAUUUGUACUGAUUUAUAUUAGGAAAAUUUCACUUCACCACAACACUGGGUAGGCCUCUAUUCUGAUAAAAAACUCACUAAGUCCACCCAAGAAUCUGGUAUGUUUUUAAGCCAAGGAAAUAGACAUUUAGCUAGAUACACUAGAUUUCUAGUUAUUUCCAACCUCAUACUCUAAAGAGAUCUUUUACUACUAUGUUUAAUACAGUUUUUUCUUUUUCAAAUUUGCCAAAGUGGAAUCAUUGGUACAACUUUGAAAAUAGACUUCAAUUUAGGUACAUUAGAUGCAUUCCACCACUUUAGCACACUGUCUUUAAUGUGUAAAAAUGGACCAGUCACUCCUGCUAUAGAAGCAAAAUAAUUUCAUAGAUCUUUAGAAUAAUCAUACUGUAAAAACAAGUGAUCAGUAGUUUCCUGAACAUCUUUUUCACAACAGCAGUAAAUCACAUAAUCAGCAAUUCUAUUUCUCAUUAAAAUCUCUCCUAUUGGAAUCUUUUUAUACCACAAUCUUCACAAAAAGAAACAUAUCUUAAAAGGUAUACCUUUCAAUCAUAUAUAUUUGAAGUUCUGAUUUGUGACCUCUUCUUUUUUUCUUCUUUUCUUUUAUAUUUUUGUUUUUUUCCUUUUUUUUUUCUUUUUUUUUCGUUCUUUUUCUUUUUUUCUAUCUUUUAUUUUUCUUUCUUUUUUUGUUUUGCUCUUUUCGUUCUUUUUAAUUUUCUUUUUGGCACCUUUUUUUUUUUCUAUCUUAUAUUUUUUUGUAUUUUUGAAAAAUAUGGCUACUCGAGUACAAGAUACGAAAAUAAUAAAAAUACCAUAAUUGCUUAUUUUAUUUAUAUUUACAUCAUCAUUUAUAUUUGUGUAUUCGUUGAUACAAUUAUAUUUGUAUUUUAUAAUUCGCGCUUGUUUUUUAUAUAUAUUAUAAUUCGUAUUUGUAUUUUAUAGUUUGCACUUGUAUUUGUAUGUUAUAGUUUGCAUUUGUGUUUGUCGCACUUGUAUUUGUAUGUUAUAGUUCGCACUUGUAUUUGUGUUUGCUAGUUCUCAUCAUCAUUUAUAUUACAUAAUUCACACUUGUAUUUUAAAGAAUUAUUUUGUAUUUGUAUUUUAUAAUUGACAGGACAUUGUAUUUAUAUUUUGUGGUUUCAGUUUAUUUAUAUUUGUGUAUUAUUUUUAUUGAUGCACUUGUAUUUUUAAAGAACUAUUUUGUAUUUAUAUUUGUAAUUUGAUCGCAUAUUGUAUUUUUAUUGGUAAUUUAAUUUGUUUCAUUUGUUUGUAGUUGAUAAGAUCAUUUGUAUUUUUAAACAAUUGUAAAAGAAUUUUUAUUUUUCUUUCUACGAACACUUAUAUUUAUAAAAUGAUAAAUUAUACAAAUACAAAUGUUACAUUUGCAUCAAAUGAUACAUAUUUAUACAACUUGAACCAUACACAUACGAAAUGAUACUUGCUUAUAUACGUUUAAAUGAUAAAUUUGAAAUACAAAUACUAACGAUACAUUUGCAUUAAAUGAAUGCAUAUUUAUAUAUUUAAGACCCAAAUAAAUACAAUUAAUUCAUAUACUUUUUUGUAUAUAAAUACAAAUGAUAUAUUAUACAUAUUCAUGGUUAAACUAUUCAACUACAAAUAAUAGAUUUAUUUAAAAUAUAUAGUAUGAUACAAAUAAAUAUAAAAUAUAAAAAAUAUAUAAAUAUAAAUACAACAACAACAACACCAACAAAACAAGAAAGAGAAAAAAUGAAAAGAAAAAAAAAAGGAAAGAAUAACGGAAAAGAAAAAACAGUGAAAAAGGAAAAAAUAAAGAGAAAACAAAAAAAAAAGGGAAAAGAAAAAAUGGAGAAAAAAAUUGAAUAGGAAAAAAAGGAGAGUAAUAGAAAAUAGAGAAAGAGAGAAAAUAACGAGAGAGAUUAUGGAUUGUAAUUGUGGAUAAUUUAUAGGCAAAAGGGGUAUGAAUUGUAAUUAACUAAAAUUUAGGCUACAUAGGAUAAUUAGAAACCUGUAUUUGUCGUCAUGUAGUUAUCUCAAAAAGAAAUAUUAAAAAAUGAAAAAAUAGGAAAAAGAAAAAACGAAGAGAGAGAAAAAUAAUAAACAUCAUUCAAAUCUAUUUUGAGUUUUGAAAUGCAUUAAAAAAACUUCAUAACACAAUCUUUAAUUAAUUGAUGAACAUGAUUUAAGAAAAUAAAAGCUUUUUAAAGCUUUUUAAAUCUUUUUAUACUUAAAUUGUUAUAUAAAAAUAAGAUAAUUAAUUGUAUUUCUGUAUGUGUUUGAUGCACAAAUACAAACAAGCCCAACAAACCCUUGUCCAAAAUCAAAGACACGUCAUUAUUUGAAACAAUUUCUCCUUUUAUUUCUCUGUAUAAUUGAAACAAUCCCUCAUUAUUUCAUUCCGUACAUACAAUUUCUCUUUUUUUUUUCCUCUGUAUAAUUGAAACAAUUCCUCAUUAUUUCAUUCCGUACAGACUUUUCGGAGAAAACAAAAAAGGCUUUUUUUAUAAUUUUUAGCAAAACAAUACUACUUAUUUACAAAAUAAAAAUGAAUUUAAACACAUAAUAUUUUUAUUCAAACCCUUGAAACUACAUGUCUUGAUGAACUUAUUUUAAGUGUUUUAAAGUCUAACAUAAUUUUUAAUCACUUUUAUAGUGUUUGCGUAAAAUAAAAAAUUAUUUAUAAACACUUGAUUUUAGAUCAAAAUGAUCCAAACUGAUUUUAAGUGGACACAAAUUAGCUCUAGGUAUAUACACUUAUGAUAUGAAAGUAGAAUAAUUUGUUGGAACUGAUAAAAUUACAAGAAACAAUUUCUUUUUAACAAAGAAGAUCAUGGAUAAUCUUGAAUUAAAUCAUGAAAUAUUCAAAAUUUUAAAACUGAAAAAGGAUUACUUAAUUCUUCUACAACUAAAAUUUCCAUUCAUGCUUAAAGGGUUUAAUGAAAAUGUACAACCUGAGCAGUGCACAAGUACAACAGAUUACAGAAUAAAUUCUCGAACAAUUCCGGUCAGCUCAAAACCCGACUCCAGCGGCCCGGAAUCCAAAUGUAGCUCGUCUAUGUGGCUCAAUCUUUCUAUUCUUCCAGAAACAACUCUCCGGCACAAGCUUAGCCGCCGUUGUAGCCGUAGCCGCCAUCCUCAUCGGCUCCGACUUGCACCUCGUCAACACAAACGGCUCAUAAGCCACUGAGGUUCCUAGCUUCUGCUCUAUCAUCGUGGCCAUGGACAUUGUGUCUGGAAAAGGACACGAUGACCGUGGCGGUUGAGGUGGGAGGUGCUGGCUCUUGUUAGAUUCUUCUGAGAGGAAAAUUUCCUUUUUCUUCUCGGUGUUACUGCUGCAAACCCAUUUUUCUUUGGAAACUUCCAUUGCUAGUUUGGGUUCGUACAUCAUUAGUAGCAAGCAAUCUGGCAGAAUUGAUUCGUUUUGCUGUUUAAUCGAUUCCGUAGGAUGCUCAACAUCUGUCAUAUAUUCGUUCUUGAUUUCUUUCUUUUCCGGCUCUGAAAUUACUGCUUCAGAUUUCGCUUCUUGUACAACUUCUCCGUCUAUGUUUUCCAAUAAGAGUGCUUCUUCGAUUAACUUUUCUAUCAUUGAUUUGAAUUUCUCAUCAUUAUCUUUUUCUACUACUUCUAAUGUACCAUCAUCUACAGCUACAAUUCCUUCGUUUUCUCUUUCGAUAUAUUCUCCGUUGGAGUUUUCUGAAAAAGAUGAAUAGCUCUUAAUGCUGCUGUCUUCUUCUUCUUUCUCCGGCUCACGGACUCGACUAUCGGGUACUUGUUCAAUUGAGUUUACUUCUACUGCUACAAGUGCCUUUUAUCUCACUCUUCUCUUCAUCUUCUUGCUCUGUCAGAGUUAUUUUUAGAGUUAUUAGAAUUUAUCUAUAAUUAUUAAAUUAAUUAUGUGAAGAUUAUUUAAAAAUAGAGAAAUUUUUAAAAAAAUUAAAGAAUUUUUAAUUAGUAAUUAUUCAGAAUAUAUAAGUCUAAAUAAAAUAAAAGAAAAUCCACAAAGAUUAGCCUACUUAAUUACAUUAAUAUCUAGUAUUGAAUCAAAAUUAAUAAUUCAUUUAAAAUCUAGGAGAAUGGAAUACAUACCACCUAAUUAUGAUAAAAUUAGAUUUAGAUAUCCGCCAAGAUAUUAUAAAUAUAAUUUAAAAUGAAUAAAGUACAACAAUACAAAGAAUUAAAAUAUAUUUGCCGGAGUUAGUAAAAAUUCAAUAGAUACACAAAAAGAUGAAAUAUCAAAAUUAGAAUCACAAAUAGAUAGUUUAGAAUAUGUAUAUCAACAUGACCUAUUCACAAUAAAAUGAAUAAAGAAGAAUUUAUAAUAGAUGAAAAAAUAUAUGAAAACUACGAAGGAUCAAAAAUAAAAAUAGUAUUUUCUAAUCUAGGACGAAGAUAUAAGAAAAUAGGUGAACAUUUAUAUCUAAUGUUAGAAAAAGAAGAAUUAAAAUUAGAAGAUAAAUUAACAGCAAUGGUAAGAAUAGAAAAAGAAAAUGAAGAGAUAGAUAGGAAAAAAGAAAUAGAAAAAAUAAAACAACAAACUACGGAAGAAAUACGAAAAAUAGAAGAAACCAAAAAUAGUAGAAUUGCUGAAUUAGAAAAAGAAUUACAAAUGUUAAAAGAACUGUAUGAACAAAGACAAAAAGAAAAAGAAGAAAAAGAUAGAGAACAGAAAUUACUAAAUGAGAUAAAUCAAUUUAAGGAAAAAUUAGAAAUAAAAAAUGAAGAAUUAGAAAUAAAUAAUAUAGAUAUUGAAGAGACAGAUAAUUAUGAGUCCGAAGAUAGUGAAACAUACACAGAAAUAUUAACAAAUACAAAAAAUUUAGAAAUCAAUGAAGAACAAAAAAUUUAUGAGGAAAACUUAGAAAAUACCCACACAGAAAUAAAUACUCUUGAUAAAAAAGAAAAUGAAAAUAUAAUACCUAAAACAACAGAAAUAAGAAAACCUAUAUAUUAUAAGAAUAAGUUUAAAAAAUAUAAUGAAUAUGAUAAAUGGAUACCAAAACAAAUAGUGAAUAAAAAUUAUAACUUUUUAGAUCUAGACUGUGUAAUAGAUACAGAAAAAACAAUACAAUUAUGGAUAGGAUAUAUGACAAAACAAUUAUUAGAUAAUAAUAUAAAUAUAACAGAUGCACCGGAAUAUAUAGAAAAAACACUAAUAGGAUCAGUAAAACUAUGGUUUGCAAAUCUAACCGAAAAUAGCAAAAAAGUAUUAAGAACUAAUAAACCUAUAGAAGGAACAUCAUCGACAACAACUAAACUAACACCUAUAGAAUUAUUAAAAAAAUAUGAAACAGCUAUAAAAGAUGAAUUUGGUAGUACGACAACAAUCGAAGAAGAACAAAAUGAAGAAAAAGAUACAAAUAGAAAUUUAAUGUUAAAAUUAGCAAUAUGUAAUAUGUGUUAUAUAGAUGAAUAUACUUGCGCAUUUAAAGAAUAUUAUUACAAAGGAGCAUAUAGUAUAGAAGAAAGUAAAGAAAUAAGAAAAUUAUAUUUUAAUAAAUUACCCGAGCCAUUUAGUUCGAAAAUAAUAAAAAGUUGGGAAGAAGCAAAAAUAGUAGAUACGUUAGGAGCAAGAAUAAAAUAUUUACAACAAUGGUAUAGAAACUUAUGUGAAAAAUAUAGAGAAGAAUUAAAAAUGGAAAAAACAUUAAUAAGAAAUUUAGCUUGUUGCAAAAAUAAAAUAGCACCCCAAUUUGGAUGCGAAGAAAGAUAUUAUAAGAAAAGAAAAAGACAUAAGAAAUAUAAGAAAUAUAAAAAAUCAAAAUAUAAAUAUAAAAAACCAAGAAAAAGAUACUAUGUAAAAAAUUAUAAACAUAAAAGACCAUAUAGAAAAAAGAAAUCUAUAAAAGAAUGUACUUGUUAUAAUUGUGGAAAGUUAGGACAUUUAGCUAGAGAUUGUAAAUUACCUAAAAAUCCAAAAAAUAAACAAAUAUCAGAAAUAAAAAUAGAAAAUACCGAAUACAUGCAGAUAGAUUAUAUAGAUUAUGAAUUAGAAAGUGAAGAUAGUAUAUAUGAAAUUUCAGAAAACGAAACAGAUAAUGAAAUAGAUAGCGAAAUAGAUGAAUCAAAUGACUGAAGAAGAUAUAAAAAUAAUAACAAAGGAAGAAUAUUUAAAUGAUGAAGGAACGGAACAAAAAAUAAUAUUUGACAGUAAUAUAUUUGAUGAAAUAAAAGGAAAAGAAUUAGAUUUAAGUGUAGAAAAAAUAUUUAAAAUACCAACAAUAAAAAAUAUUUUUACUAGGAAAAAAGAUGAAUAUUAUGUAGUAUGUCAAAAAGAACAUGUAAUAGACUGCAGAUAUGCAAAAGGAAAAGCUAGUAUACCACUGGUAACAAAAAGAAUAAUUAAUAAAGAAAUAAAUGAUAUAAAAAGUAAAGGAGAUCCAAUAAAAUAUGUACACCUUGGAGGUACAGAGAUAUUAAUAAAAGCAUGUUUUAGAGAAGGAAUAGAUACACCAAUAGAAUUAUAUUUAGCAGACGAUAGAAUUAUAAAACCUAUAGAAAAAAGCAUAAUAACUGCCGUAAAAGGAAAUCUAAUAUACCAAAAAUUUAAAUUUAUAAUAAGUGCAAAUUAUUCAGUAGCAGUAACAGAUAGGAAUAUAGAUAAAUCAUUAGUAUUAUAUUGGAAAAUAUCAGGAAUAGAAUUAACCCCAGGAAGUAAAAUAUUUACAGCAAGAUGUAAAAAUCUAUAUGUAUUAACAACAAAACAUAAAAUAACAGGAAAAAAUAAGAUUAACAAAAUACAAAUAGAAAGCCCAUUCGAACAAAUAGUAAAAACAAUAGAUUAUAAUGAUUAUACCUAUAGAGACAUAGAUACAGAAGAAAAUUUAGAAAUAGUAAAUGAUAGAAUAAGUACAACGAAAAGAAUAGCUAAUGAAAAGCCAGAAUCAUCAAGCUCAUCAAAAAGAACAAGUUAUGAAACAAAUUCAAUAAGUAAUUUAAACCAAUAUUACAUAACGGGAAAAAUAAAUGAAAAAGAAUAUUUAAUACUUUUGAAUACAGGACAAGAAGAAAAUCAUAUAGCAAAAUAUCUAGUAAGAAAUGAAGAAAUAAAAACCGACAAUAAUAUAUGCCCAGACUUACCAAGAAGUUUAAUAAAUAAUAAAAAUAUAGCAGAAAAAGAAAUAAUGUUAGGAGUUAGAAAAAUAAAAAUAGAAUUCGAAGUAAAAGAAGAAAUGCAAAAAGCAGAUAUAAUAUUAGGAAUAAAAUGGUUGGAACAAGUAAAACCAUAUAAUAUAGAACAUACACAAUUAACCUUAACAUAUAACCAAGAAAAGUUAUUCUUAAAAAGAGCCUUAACAUGAAAUGAAGAUACAUGUAUUAAUGAAGAUAGUAGUAGAAGGAUAUUACAGUAGAUAUUAUACGCCUAUGAUAGAUACAGGAGCAGAAGCUAAUUUAUGUAGAUAUAAUUGCUUACCAGAAAGCAAAUGGGAUAAACUAAAAACACCAAUAAUAGUUAAAGGAUUUAAUAAUGAAGGAAGCUUAAUUACUUAUAAAGCUAGGAAUGUAAAAAUACAAGUAUGGGAUAAGAUAUUAACAAUAGAAGAAAUUUAUAAUUAUGAAUUAACAUCAAAAGAUAUACUUUUAGGAAUGCCAUUUUUAGAUAAAUUAUACCCACAUAUAAUAACCAAAACAGACUGGUGGUUUACAACACCAUGCAAACAAAAAGUAAGAGCAAAAAGAGUUAAUAAUAAAAUAAGAAAGAAAACUGAUUGGAUAAAAGGAAGUGAAAAAAUUACACAAAAGUUAGAAAAUAUAAACAAUACUGAAGAUACAGUAGAACUAGUAGUAUUUUCGAUAAAUAAAACAGAAAUAACUAUAUUUUCAAUAAAUAAAAUAGAAAUAAUUCAGAAAAAAUUAGAACAAUUAUAUAGUGAAGAUCCAUUAAAAGGAUGGGAAAAACACAAAACUACUAUAAAAAUUGAAUUAAUAGAUAAGAAUAGCAUAAUAACACAAAAACCAUUAACAUAUAAUUUUGAUGAUUUAAAAGAAUUUAAAAUGCACAUAGAUGAAUUAUUAGAAAAACAAUAUAUACAAAAAAGUAAUAGUAAACAUAAUAGUCCAGCAUUUAUAGUAAAUAAACAUAGUGAACAAAAAAGAGGAAAAAGUAGGAUGGUUAUUGACUAUAGAAAUUUAAAUGCAAAAACUAUAACAUAUAAUUAUCCGAUACCAAAUAAGAUAUUAAAAAUAAGACAAAUCCAAGGAUAUAAUUAUUUUAGCAAAUUUGAUUGUAAAUCAGGAUUUUACCACCUAAAGCUAGAAGAAGAAUCUAAAGAAUUAACCGCAUUUACGGUACCACAAGGAUUUUAUGAAUGGAACGUGUUACCAUUUGGAUAUAAAAAUGCACCAGGUAGAUAUCAACAUUUUAUGGAUAAUUAUUUUAAACAAUUAUCUAAUUGUAUAGUAUACAUAGAUGAUAUAUUAUUAUAUACAAAAACUAAAGAAGAACAUUUAAAAUUAUUAGAACAAUUCACAGAUAUAAUAGAAAAAUCAGGAAUAAGUCUAAGCAAAAAGAAAGCUGAAAUUAUGAAAAACCAGAUAGAAUUUUUAGGAAUACAAAUAGAUAAAAGUGGAGUAAAAAUGCAACAACAUAUAGUACAAAAAAUAAUAAAUUCGAAAGAAGAAUUAGAUACAAAAAAGAAAUUACAAUCAUUUUUAGGAUUAGUAAACCAAGUAAGAGAAUAUAUUCCAAAAUUAGCAGAAACCUUAAAACCACUGCAGAAAAAAUUAAAAAAGGAUAUAGAAUAUAAUUAUGAUGAAAAAGAUAAAAAACAAGUUCAAAAAAUAAAAUUACUUUGUAAAGAAUUACCAAAAUUACAAUUUCCAGAUGAAAAUAGAAAAUUUAUAUAUAUAGUAGAAGCAGAUGCUAGUGAAUAUAGUUACGGAGGAGUACUUAAAUAUCGAUAUGAAGCAGAAAAAAUAGAACACCAUUGUAGAUACUACUCAGGUACGUUCAACGAGACAGAAAUAAAAUGGGAAAUAAAUAGGAAAGAAUUAUGUUCAUUAUAUAAAUGUUUAUUAGCAUUUGAGCCAUAUAUUGUAUAUAACAAAUUUAUUGUACGAACAGAUAAUACACAGGUACGCUGGUGGUUAACAAAGAAAAUACAAAAUUCAGUUACAACAAAAGAGAUUCGGAGACUAGUUUUAAAUAUAUUAAAUUUCACAUUUACAAUUGAAGUGAUCAGUACUAACAAAAAUGUUAUUGCAGAUUACAUAUCAAGACAAAGCUACACAGACUGAAAUAAUAGAAGAAGAUACUCUAGAAAAAAUACUUAACACCCUAACUACGCUUUCAAUGAAAGUGGACAGUAUGGGUAAUGAGAUAGAAAAGCUAAAGACUAAUGAAGAUAAACUGAAGUCUAUAGCUACAAAUCAGCUAACUCAGCAGUGUGCAGAGCUAUGUCGAUCGGAAGACAUUAAAGUUCCAGAGCUAGAAGGAGACGUUGGGACACUCCAUAAAACCCAUAACAUUUAUCAAUCUACUUCUGCAGGUACAAGCAAAGGAGUUAAUCGACCAAGAUACCAGAAUACGAAUAUGAAUAAAAUAUUUGAAAAAUUAUUUAUACCAAAAAUACAAAAAGACCACUUGUUCAUACCCCCACAAGUUAGCACAUACCGAGAUAGCCUAAACCAAGAUAAAAAAGUUUACAACUACACCGCCCAGAAAUACAUAGAAAAUAUAUACAGAGUACAAACUUUUCUAAACCAUAACCCCAGAGCUACAAACAUCAAAGAACCAAACACCAACUAUAUAACCCAAAAAUUACAAGGAUAUAACAAACUAAUUGCACUACCCAAAACUAAUCCAAGCCUAGUAAAAACUUGUUUUGACUAUGGACUGUUAAACAUCAUAUACACCCAAGACGGAGAAGAAUUAACAAUUAUGGAAGAAUUGCACAAGAUAUUCACCACCUACAAAAGGAUAACGAAAGAAAAUCUAUUUUACAUAAAGUGUUAUACUGCACCGGCCGAGAUACUAUAUGACGAAAUAAAACCAGUUAUACAAGUUGUGAAAAUAGGACUAACUAGAGAUAUGAUCAUACCAGAAGAUAUUACACAGCAACCGGAGAUACCCAGAAUUGAGAUACCCGACUUCUACGCAAAUAAACGACUUAUUGGACUAGCUACUAUUAUCCAAGAACUAGCAAAUAAUUAUACUAAUGGAAACCCAAUAUGGAGCUAUUAUUCGAGAGAUCAUCAAAUGAUUUACUCUAAUUCAAAAGAGCUACGACAAGCAGAUAUGGAAGAUGUCAGACAAUGGAUAAUGACAUUACUCAACCCAGAAAAACAAUCUACCGCAAGAGCAAUUAAAAAAGGAUUUAUUUCAGAUGGACUACUGACAAGAUAUUGUAAAAUAAUCGGACACAAAUAUCUAGAUCACCAAUGUUCAAGAUGUAAUGGAGAAGAUAACAUUAUUCCAGAAGUACAUCUAGAAUAAAAGAAGACAAAAUGCCAGCUGAAAAGAUAGGAUAAGAAGCAAUAAUGGAGAUAUAGCAGAUACGACAAGAUCAACGGAGACAAGAUAUUGAAUUAUUGUACAAAAUCUUUAGACUUUACGUAAAAGUUGUAAUUAUUGUAGAUUUUUUAGGCUUGUAGGUUUGUAGAAAAUUUAAAGGCUAGGUAGUAGCCUCCUUUUUUGACUUUUUUAGUAGUUGUUUUACAAAAAAAAAUGUGUGAAGAUUGUAAAGUUUUUCAUUCUAUAAAUGAAGGCAACUGAAGGCAUUGCAAAGCAAGCCUUCAUGCGUUGAAGCAAACACUCUCUCCAUUCCACAACAAAUAUUUUACUCAGUUAAUUAAACAGACAUAUUUCAAUGGAAAAAGCUAUGGAGGAACAAACUUCAGAAAUAUCAAAACUACCCGAACAGGUAUAUUUAUUUAUGAUUAUGAAUAGCUAAAUUCAUAAUUCCCAACAAUCAUGAUAUGAUAAAAUAAAUUCAUAUUAGUUACUUUAUAGUAGAAUUAUUCGAAGAAUAAUAUGUUAAGAAGUUUAUUAACAAAGAGGAAACGGAGAAAUAUCCCUAAGGACUAUGCCAUCCUAAAGGUGAAACCAAUGAGGCAAGAAGCCGUGGCGGGGAGUAACCAGAGUAGAGGCGCUGUUUAAGGGAAAAAGUAUCCGGAUUACCAUGUUAAUAGUGACGGAAGAACAUAUUAUUUAAGAAUAAUCUAGUAUAUAGUAAGCCAAUAUGACCAUAUUUUGUUGUGUACGUGAUUGAAGGGAAUAUUUUGAAAAAAGCAAUUUUAUGAAAAUGAAUGAUUAUUUAUCUGAUGAGAUGGUAGAUAAAUUUAAAAUACUUAUUUUGUAUGCACUUAGAGAUAGAAAAGUAGCAGAUAUAAGAAAAAUCAUAUUAGAAAAAGCUUUUGGUAAAAAUUAUAUGUCUAGAAUAAGCUAUAUACCACAAAUACCUAACGACUCUUAUAAAUACUUAAGGUGAUAAGUUACAUAAAAAAAAAAAGAAGAUAAAAACAAAAACUUUUGCAGUUACUAGAAAAAAUAAAAAUAAACACAUGGAAAAUAAAGAUAUAAAAUUUCUUAAUAAAAAUAUGCAAAAACUACUAAGACUAAAACAAACAGCUACAAAACAAUUUUAAAAAUAGAUCAUUUAGAUUAUCUUAAAGUUUUAAUAUUAUAUAUACUUAAAAACAUAGAAAUUAUAGAUAUUAAGAAAAUAAUAUUAGAAAAAGUAAUAGACUACGAAAUUGAAACUAUAAAUUAUCUAGAACAGUUAUACGAAGAAAUUUACCCAGAAGGAUAUUAUUCAGAUUAAAAAAUGUUAGAAUAUAUUAGACAAACUAGAGAAAAUCAAGAAAAUCUAAAUAAUGAAAUUAAUUAUAGAAACCGAAUCUUAGAAGAUUUAGAAAAAAGUACAUGUGAUAGUUUAUAUAAUUUAAAAAACUCACUACGAGAAGAACAACAUAAGAUAAUAAAUAACAUUGAAAAUCUAGAAUUAGAUAUACAUUACAGUACAGUAAGGAUAAAUUAUUAUACAGAAAUUUGUAACUCUACGAUUACUACAGGAUAAAAUAAUAAACCAAACAAAUUAAUGAAUAUAUCUUACGCAAAAAGUAAAUUAUUAAAAGAUAUUGAAACAAAAUUUAAGAAAUAUCCACGCACAAAGAAAAAUAGAUUCGCUAGAUACCUAAUAAAUCUAUUUCAUACGUCAGAUAUCCGCACCCCUACAAAUGGUAUCCCACCUCUGAUUUCUAUGUGCCAUGGCUGUCACCGCGGUACAUUGAUCUUGUGAUUGAAACUGCACACCAGAAGAACUCUUCUGAUUGUUCUGAAUAACUAAUCCCCUUUCUUCAGUUGCAGCUUGUUCUAGUUUCCUGAAAUUUACAUUAUCGACGCUUCUGUUAGACAGACUACGUGUUUGGCUAACUUUCUUCUUGGUUUUCAUUUUCACUUGACCAAUAGAAGUGACCUUAGGAGAAGAAGGUUCAGGGUUAUCAAAGCCUACCCGUGGUGGUAGGAAACGUAGCGGGGGAUUGGCCACCUUUAAUGCUGCCGUUGGCUAAGGGAAGGGGGGAGAGAGAGAGGCGGCUCAUGACGAGCAUGGCUAGGGCUAAGAAUGGAUUUGGAGAGUUUCAUGGAAGAUGAAGAAAGGCGUGAAUUGAAGCAGAUGAAGACUUCACUAGUGGUAGUGAUGGUGCGGGGAAUGGGGCUUGUCUAAGUCCUUUAGCUAGGGGAGGACAUUAUUUUUUUGGUUUCAGUACUACAAAUUGUUGUUAUAGGUAGAUAUGGAUGGGAUCCAAGUGGGGUCCGAGAGGUGUAAAAAAAGUUGUGUUUGUAUGGUGGAAUGGGGGUGGGGUGAGGGGUUCGCAGAAGGAACAGAAAUGCAGAAAAGGUAGUGUGAGGUGCGUGUCUAGUUUGUUGAAUGCAAAAGCUAUGGGGGAGGAUGUUUGAAGCGUUGUUCUUUAGUUGAAUGUGAAGAUGAUUAUGGGGUAGGGAUAAUUGCCUAAUGUACAAUUUAAUAUUGCUAGAUCCACGGUAUGACAAAAAAGGGAGUGCUCUCCACUAAAAAGAUGAUACUCCAUCGAUCCCAUAUGAAAUCUUUUUGACUUCGCAGAUUUAAAAAUAAAUAAAUUAUAUUUAUGGGUUAAAAUAAUUCUUACAUAUUUAUGUGUCUCUAAAUAUUUUUAUUAAGGAUAAGAAAAUUUCAAAUUAAUUUUUUUUUAAUUAUAGUAAGAAAUAAAUCGAUUUAACAAAGCCUUAAACAUUAGCCAUUAUAGAGAGAUUCACUAUGUAUCUCAACGGUAAACUUGCCGCGGGUCAUUUUCAACAAUGAACUGAUGUGGGUGGUUUUGAAUAUAAUUUCUUGGUUAUCUUUUUCUCUAUUACUCUUAUUUUAGGCAGAAUUAGAAUUAUUAGUUUAUGAGUACGAGUCAUAAUUUUUAUUGUUAAAUAAGUUUUUUAGUACGUAUAAUUUGAGUCAAAACUAUUAGUUUUGCCAAAACCCGUUAGUCCAUAACGUUGGCUCUAGCCCCCGACUCCCUACAACUAAUAAAAACGUCCUUUCACUCUAGCUUACAUAGCAUGUGCUGCUUCUAAUUUUGGUUGUCAUAUUUCAGCAGAUGGGAAUGGGCAACUGUUAGGGUGUGAUAUUAACAUGUAGUUUGUGUUAUAGUAUUAUAUUUUUAUCAUAUGUAAAAUCACUUUCUUAUACUUCGUUUAAAAAAGAAUGACCUAUUUUUCUUUUUAGUCCGUUUAAAAAAGAAUGACCCCUUUUUUUUAGCAAAAUUUUAAUUUUAAUUUUCACUUGACAUGUUUAGGACCAUAAGAUUAAAGGACAUUUUGGUACAUUUAACACAACUUUAAUUUAAUGCCACAAGAUUCAAAAGUCUUCUUUAUUUUCUUAAACUUUGUAUCAAGUCAAAGUAGGUCAUUCUUUUUUAAACGAAGGGAGUAUUAAUGAAAUCUUUAUUUGAAUAGAUCAUUGUGUUAAUAUGUGUGUCCUUUACUUAUAUAGUAGACAAUUUUGUGUAUGGAGUAUUUGGACUCAUGCACGGAAGAUUAAAAUUGUCGGUUCUUAUAAGUAAUAAAUUAAUGUUUAUAAUCAAAGAUGAGGUAGGACAAACAUCUUAAUAAUUGUAGCAUAAGAUUAAAUAUAAUUUGAUUUUGAUUAUGAGAGUGGUAAUAUUCCAACUUCUUGUGCUAGUAUAUUUCGUAUGUAUCGAACGGACCAAUUAGAGAUGCUUGUUUAUGUUCUGAAUUUUAAUAAAUAACUUUCCUAAUCCAUUACAUGUACUCAUACUUUUAAUCUUGAUAUAAUUACUAUAAUCUAUGUAGUUUGGUUUAUUGUUUUAAUCUAUUAAAAGGUGAGACUCUUUCACGAGUCAAUAUAUUCCUGAUAGUUUGAAUGAUGAUAAAUUACUUAGUGAAAUAUUAAUUAGUUAAUAGAACCAUGUCUUGGACUUGAGAUAGACGACACCCCUUUAUGGUUGCUUAUAAGUUUUCACGUGAAAACCCUGCAGGUAAAUUUUAUAUCCGUUAUGUGAAAUAAGUUAAGCAUUACAAAUAAAAAAUUAAAUUAAUAAAUGAGUUAAAUUUUUUAGAGAAUUUAAUUUAAUUGAUUGGUGUCGGUAAUUCUAACAUGGAGAGUUAAAUAAGAUGUAAUAGUAGAUUUUGAAAUUAAAUCUAGGAGUGCAAUUAUAAAUUUUUAGUGGAAUAAUUUAUAAUUUAUUAUGGUAUGAUAAUUCUUCUAUCAUCGAAUUAAUAUCAUAAUUGAAAGCCUCACUUAAUAAAUAUGUAGUCUGUGCUACACCUGAUUACCUAUUCAAUUUUGGAAAAGAAAAGAAGCCUACUAGGAGAAGUAAUAUUAAUUACUGGUCUUCUAUAAGGAAUAAAAGAAUUAAAAAAUCAAUUUUGGCAUUAUAAAAAAUUUAAAGCUGAAAAAUGUUUUGGCAUUAAGUGGGUUUAAGGCUAAAAAUGUUUUUGACUAUAAGAUUAUAAUAAAGGGCAAAAACAUUUGCCUCUUGUCCUUUCUCAUCCUGUUGAAAGUGGGAAUAAGUAGAAGAUGAUGUUUGAGAAUUCGAUGAUCUUUCUUGAAUCCAAAAACGCUUACCCACAUAAGUUUGAUAAGCAAAGGUUAAGUCAGGAAAUAGUAGAAGGUAGCAGACUUGGCAAACAAAGUGUUGAACGAGUGAAAGCUUCAAGAGGUAAGUUUUCUGAUUUUCGUUUUGAUUAUGUUAUCCAAAUUAUAUGUAAGUUAUAUUGAUCCUGUAGAAUUGUUGCUUCCACUAUGCAUGUUCUAACAACAACUUCGAGCAGUAAUAAAGAAAGGACAUUUAUGUAUAAUGCUAUUAACAAUAUUGAUAAACAUAAUGGAAUUCGGAGCCUAAAAGGAAAGUUUUUUAAUUCAAAUUUCAAAGGGGAAAUAUGAAAAUAGAAAAAUUCUAAAACGGAUACCUUGUCGAUUAAAAGUUAACAUCGUCAAUUACAUGGUAAAGUGCAAGGUAAAAUCAUAAUUUUACUUUACAAGGUAAAUGAAGUCACUUACCUUAUCCUUUGACUGAAAAGUGAUUGAAAAAGUACAAGGUAAAACCGUUAAUUUACCUUACAAGGUAAAUUGAGUCACUUACCUAUCCUUUGAUUGAAAAAAGUGGGGAAUAAAUUUCCCUAAAAUAGAAGUAUCUAUAAGAUGGGACUUACCGUUGAUACGGGAGGGAAUAAAUUUUCUUUUGCAAGCUGAUUGUAAGCCAAGUAUGGACUCUCACCUUGUAAGGUGGGAUCUCAUGUUCACUUGUAAGGUAGGAUCCCAUGUUUGUCUUAUAACAACUUUAAAAUUCAUGGUGCUAUAUAAAGAGUGCGAGUGUAGGUUUAUUUCAUUUGCAUCAAUUCAAUUUUUUUUUGUCAAAGUUCAUAACUCAAAAUAUUUGUUGAACCUUAUUCAUUUCUUACUUUAAGAUGGAUGAUAAUAAGGUAAGAGUAAAUUUACAUUGGGGUGGUAAAGUUUUGCAUGAUGAGGAUUCGGUGCGAUAUAGUCGACGUCCUAUAGUGGUUCAAUCAUUUUCUUUAUUUCAUUGAUGUGCUAUAAAUUCAUAGCACUUACGAUACUUAAACUUGGAGAAUAUGCAUGUACUUACGGCUAUUUUAUUGGAUUUGAUGUGUUUUUGGAGUGAUUUUGCAGGAAACUAGGUUUUGGAUGGUAAAAGAAAGAAAAACUAGGUUUUGGAUGC